rnacentral:rRNA from 1 species
CGGUACUGAAGUUAACACAUUAAGUACUCCGCCUGAGUAGUACGUACGCAAGUAUGAAACUUAAAGGAAUUGACGGGACUCCGCACAAGCGGUGGAUCAUGUUGUUUAAUUCGAAGAUACACGAAAAACCUUACCAGGUCUUGACAUUUUCUUGCGAAGUUAUAGAAAUAUAAUGGAGGUUAUCAGGAAAACAGGUGGUGCAUGGUUGUCGUCAGCUCGUGUCGUGAGAUGUUAGGUUAAGUCCUAAAACGAGCGCAACCCUUGUCGUUAAUUGCCAGCAUGUAAUGAUGGGGACUUUAACGAGACUGCCAAUGAAAAAUUGGAGGAAGGUGGGGAUUACGUC